UUGUUUCCUCAACACAUAUACUAAAAUUGAAACAAUACAGAGAAGAUUAACAUGGCCCCUGCACAAGGAUGACAUGAAAAUUCAUGAAGCAUUCCAUAUUUUU